rnacentral:lncRNA from 1 species
UUGGUUCCAAGUCUUUGCUAUUGUGAAUAGUGCCGCAAUAAACAUACGUGUGCAUGUGUCUUUAUAGCAGCAUGAUUUAUAGUCCUUUGGGUAUAUUGAAAACUGGCACAAGACAGGGAUGCAUUGUUAAAAAAAUAAUAUUUCUGGGGAAAAGGCUCAGUGCUCAACGGUUACUCUAUAAAGAGAUUUAAAAAGAAAGUCAAGGGAAGAUAAGGAAGGUAGCAUGGCUAACAACCUCGUGGGUUCUACUAGCAUUAUUUCAUGCAAAAUGUCAUUAACCUUUAUAUAGGAGAGAAUAAGUCUGGGAAUCAACUGGCAUCUAAACUCCAUUUCUUGUUUUGUCACUGCUUCCCUGGUUGACUAUGGAAAAUACAUUUGGUCUUUUGAUACCUUGGUUUCAACAACUAUAACAUGACUUAAGAACUUUUAUGCAUGGACUUUGUAAUAGUUAUCUAUUUCUGCAUACAAAUUACUUCAAAACUUAAAUCGUCGUUUGAAACAACAAACACUAUCUCACAGUUUCUGUGGGUCAGGAGUCCAGACAUGGCUUAUUGGGUAACCGCCUCAAAGUCUUACUAGGCUGUAAUACAGUUAUUGGCUAGAGCUGCUGUUUCAUCUGAAGGUUCAAUUGAGAGAGGAUCCACUUCUAAGCUCACUCACAUGGUUGCUGGCACAAUUCAAUUCCUCUCAGGCUAUUGGAUUAAGGGUCUCAGUUCCCUACUGACUGUUGGUCAGUGAACUUUCCUCAGUUCUUUGCCAUAUGGGGAUCCAUAGAACAGCUCACUACAUGGCAACUGGCUUCUAUCAAAGUGAGCAAUAAGGAAGUAAGCAAGAGAGGUUUGCAAGACAAAAGCUACUAUCUCUUUAUAAUCUAAUCUCAGAAGUAGCAUCAUAUCCCUUCUGCCAUAUUCUGUUCAUUAGAAGUAAAUCUCUGGGUCUAGCCAUACUCUAUUGCAGAGAUCACACAAGGGUGUGAAUACAGACACAGGGAUUGUUGGGGCUCAUCUUAGAGGUCGUCUCCCAUAGAGUUAGCUGCCAAUCUGAGGGGUCACAGGGACCCAUGCAUCUGGGCCAGAACACUGGGAUUUCAUCCCUUAAGCAGGACAACAUUCAUUCAGAAACAUAUAUAUAUGUUUAUAUGUUUCUCACUAAUCAAAGAGAGAAGCAAGGCCUGUCCCUGACGAGCUCCCUUUCUCAGAUCCGCCCUGAACUGCCUAAGUUAAAUCCAUGUACCUUGACUAGGUGAACCAUAGAGUCCAAGCCUAGAGUUGGGUCCUGGGUUUAAUCCUGGUUCUGUCUUAGCCCUAUGACCUUAGGCCACUUCUCUUCGGCUUGGUUUUCUUUGCAUCAGGAAGUGUCGGAUUAGAUCCCAACAAUGGUUCUCAAAUUGGAGUGCCUGUGAAAAUCACCUGGGGUCAUUUGAAAAAUUCCUGAUGCCUAGCACACCCCUGACAAAUUAAAUCAGAAGAUCUGAGGGUGAGAUUCAGGCAAGAGGACUUCUUAACAGCUCCCCAAGUGAUUUCAUUGUUCAGCCAAGGUUGAUAACUACUCAUUUAGAAGAUUGGUAAUCCUAACUCUGGUACAUGGGAACUAUCUGAGGAGCUUUAAAAACAAAUACAGAAGCCAGAAUCUUAGGACAAUUAAAAUAGAAAUCCCUGGGGGUUGGUCCCAGACAUGGUGUCUUUCAAAGCUCCCCAGAUGAUUCUAAUGUGUAGCCAGAUUUGUGGACCCUCAGGUUUAAUGAUCUUCAAGAAUCCUCUAUCUAAGGUUCUAAGCUUGUCCGAAUGGACUUGUAGAGCUAUAAGCACGUGUACCACCUUCUCAGGAAGGUGGCCGCUCCAAUGCUCUCUGACUCUAAAGAAUGAAAUGAUUAUUCCCACCCGAACAUCCAUCUUCUCUGGGUUUACCGUCCCCUACUUACAGUCCGUAAAAAGGUCACCCUAGACUUGACCUCAGUCUCAUUGUGACACACACAGCACGCCAGCGUUCUUAACCUUUUUGGUUACAGAGACCCUUUUAGAAACUUCAUGAAAAUUGUAAGUCAUCUCAUAAGGAGGAUCUUACAUGCACAUCAAAUUGAGCAUACAAUUUUCAUGGAUCCCUAAACUCUUGAUACAAAGUUAAUUCUAUCUCACUAUAAUAUAAAAGUCAAAAACUUACAUAACCCAGAAAAGCAGAAUUUGCAACAUAGUAGAAAUAGACCAGAGUGAAAGUUCUAAUCCUGGUUCCACAACUCACCAGUCAACAUUUAGGAGUCACUGAAUCACUUGAUGCCUCAGUUUACUCAUAUGCCCAAUUAAGAAUUAUAAAAUCAUGCACCACAUAAUGUCUUGGUCAAGUACAGAUCACAUAUGACGAUGGUUUCAUAAGAUAAUACUGUGUUUUUACUGUACCUUUGUCACUGUGUUUAGAUACACAAAUACUUACAUUAUGUUACUAUUGCCUAUGGUAUUGAGUAUAGUAACCUGCUGUACAGAUCUAUAGCCUAGGAGCAAUAGGCUAUACCAUACAGCAUAGGUGUGUCACAGGCUCUCCCACCUUGGUUUGUGUAAGUACACUCUGUGAUGUUUGCACACAACGAAAUCGCCUGAUGACACAAUGCUCAGAAUGUGUCUCCAUCAUUAAGAGAUACAUGACUACCUACCCCAUCAAUCUUGCCUAUUCCAGAAACAAAGUGAAAUUAAUAAUAUAAAAUUGGUUUGAUCAAUUUAUGAAUUACAUUGUCAUUGAAAGUAGGAGAACUAGACCAGGAGGCACUGGUGUGACCCUGGAGUAGAUGGAACUGUUUGUGCAUGUGUCUUUCUUACCUUCCAUUCUCAUAAAGAAUUAGCACAUUCCCCACAUACACCCUGGCCAGACCGUGUCUUUGGGACUGCAGCACUAAGGUGUGUUUUUGUUUGUUAACUUAUUCCCAGUGCCUGUGUUGACCAGGAGGCUUUGGGAAUAAAGGUACAUAAAGGUCUUGGAGCCUGGAUGAGCCUGUGGUCAAGAGAUGGCAGGCAGUGUCCUUGAAUUUGGAAUGUGACUCACACUCUGCCUGUAGGGGAAGAAAAGAGAGAUCAGACUGUUACUGUGUCUAUGUAGAAAGGGAAGACAGAAGAGACUGCAUUUUGAAAAAGACCUGCACUUUAAACAAUUGCUUUGCUGAGAUGUUGUUAAUUUGUAGCUUUGCCCCAGCCACUUUGCCCCAGCCACUUUGACCCAACCUGGAGCUCACAAAAACAUGUGUUGUAUGAAAUCAAGGUUUAAGGAAUCUAGGGCUGUACAGGACGUGCCUUGUUAACAAAAUGUUUACAAGUAGUAUACUUGGUAAAAGUCAUCGCCAUUCUCUAGUCUCAAUAAACCAGGGGAACAAUGCACUGUGGAAAGCCGCAGGGACCUCUGCCCUUGAAAGCGGGAUAUUGUCCAAGGUUUCUCCCCAUGUCAUAGCCUGAAAUAUGGGCUCCUGGGAUGAGAAAGACCUGACCGUCCCCCAGCCUGACACCCUUAAAGGGUCUGUGCUGAGGUGGAUUAGUAAAAGAGGAAAGCCUCUUGCAGUUGAGAUAGAGGAAGGCCACUGUCUCCUGUCUGCCCCUGGGAACUGAAUGUCUCGGUAUAAAACCCGAUUGUACAUUUGUUCAAUUCUGAGAUAGGAGAAAAACCGCCCUAUGGUGGGAGGUGAGACAUGUUUGCAGCAAUGCUGCUUUGUUAUUCUUUACUCCACUGAGAUGUUUGGGUGGAGAGAAACAUAAAUCUGGCUUACGUGCACAUCCAGUCAUAGUACUUUCCCUUGAACUUAAUUAUGACAUAGAUUCUUUUGCUCACAUGUUUUUUGCUGACCUUCUCCUUAUUAUCACCCUGCUCUCCUGCUACAUUCCUUUUUGCUGAAAUAAUGAAAAUAAUAAUCAAUAAAAACUGAGGGAACUCAGAGGCCGGUGCCAGUGCAGGUCCUUGGUGUGCUGUGUGCCGGUCCCCUGGGCCCACUGUUGUUUCUCUAUAC